rnacentral:rRNA from 1 species
UACGGAGGGUGCAAGCGUUAUCCGGAUUCACUGGGUUUAAAGGGUGCGUAGGUGGGUCUGUAAGUCCGUGGUGAAAUCUCUAGGCUUAACCUGGAAACUGCCAUGGAUACUAUAGGUCUUGAAUACUGUGGAGGUCAGCGGAAUAUGUCAUGUAGCGGUGAAAUGCUUGAUAUGACAUAGAACACCAAUUGCGAAGGCAGCUAGCUACACAAAUAUUGACACUGAGGCACGAAAGCGUGGGGAUCAAACAGG